rnacentral:rRNA from 1 species
UACGAAGGAUGCGAGCGUUAUCCGGAUUUAUUGGGUUUAAAGGGUGCGUAGGCGGCCUUAUAAGUCAGUGGUGAAAUCCUAUCGCUUAACGAUAGACGUGCCAUUGAUACUGUAGGGCUUGAGUACAGAUGCCGUUGGCGGAAUGUGUCAUGUAGCGGUGAAAUGCAUAGAUAUGACACAGAACACCGAUUGCGAAGGCAGCUGACGAAACUGUAACUGACGCUGAGGCACGAAAGCGUGGGGAUCAAACAGGA